rnacentral:rRNA from 1 species
GAGUUUGAUCAUGGCUCAGGACAAACGCUGGCGGGGUGCAUGAGACAUGCAAGUCGAACGGGGUUGAGCGGGCUUGCUCGAUCAACCUAGUGGCGGACGGCUGAGUAACGCGUAGGUGACCUACCCGGAAGUGGGGAAUAACUGCCCGAAAGGGUGGCUAAUACCGCAUGUGGUCGGCGAUUCGGUUCGCCGUGCAAAGCCGCAAGGCGCUUCCGGAGGGGCCUGCGUCCGAUUAGCUAGUUGGUGGGGUAAUGGCUCACCAAGGCGACGAUCGGUAGCUGGUCUGAGAGGAUGAUCAGCCAGACUGGGACUGAGAACGGCCCAGACUCCUACGGGAGGCAGCAGUCGGGAAUUUUGCCCAAUGGACGAAAGUCUGAGGCAGCAACUCCGCGUGAGGGACGAAGGCCCUUCGGGUCGGUAAACCUCUUUCUUCUAGGGAGAAGUACAAGAACGGUACC